CCUACGGGCGGCAGCAGUGAGGAAUAUUGGUCAAUGGACGCAAGUCUGAACCAGCCAAGCCGCGUGCAGGAAGAAGGCUCUAUGAGUUGUAAACUGCUUUUGUAGGAGGGUAAACGCAGAUACGCGUAUAUGUUUGCAAGUAUCCUACGAAUAAGGAUCGGCUAACUCCGUGCCAGCAGCCGCGGUAAUACGGAGGAUGCAAGCGUUAUCCGGAUUUAUUGGGUUUAAAGGGUGCGUAGGCUGUCUGAUAAGUUAGAGGUGAAAUCCCGCGGCUCAACUGCGGAAUUGCCUCUGAUACUGUUCGGCUAGAGUGUAGUUGCGGUAGGCGGACUGUGUGGUGUAGCGGUGAAAUGCUUAGAUAUCAUACAGAACUCCGAUUGCGAAGGCAGCUUACCAAGCUACUUCUGACGUUGAGGCACGAAAGCGUGGGUAGCAAACAGGAUUAGAUACCCUUGUAGUC
rnacentral:rRNA from 1 species